rnacentral:rRNA from 1 species
UACGUAGGCAGCGAGCGUUGUUCGGAGUUACUGGGCGUAAAGGGUGUGUAGGCGGCUGUUUAAGUUUGGUGUGAAAUCUCCCGGCUCAACUGGGAGGGUGCGCCGAAUACUGAAUGACUUCGAGUGCGGGAGAGGAGAGUGGAAUUCCUGGUGUAGCGGUGAAAUGCGUAGAUAUCAGGAGGAACACCGGUGGUGUAGACGGCUCUCUGGACCGUAACUGGCGCUGAGACACGAAAGCGUGGGUAGCAAACAGG